UUAAGCGACUAAGCGUACACGGUGGAUGCCCUGGCAGUCAGAGGCGAUGAAGGACGUGCUAAUCUGCGAUAAGCGUCGGUAAGGUGAUAUGAACCGUUAUAACCGGCGAUUUCCGAAUGGGGAAACCCAGUGUGAUUCGUCACACUAUCAUUAACUGAAUCCAUAGGUUAAUGAGGCGAACCGGGGGAACUGAAACAUCUAAGUACCCCGAGGAAAAGAAAUCAACCGAGAUUCCCCCAGUAGCGGCGAGCGAACGGGGAGGAGCCCAGAGCCUGAAUCAGUGUGUGUGUUAGUGGAAGCGUCUGGAAAGGCGCGCGAUACAGGGUGACAGCCCCGUACACAAAAAUGCACAUAUUGUGAGCUCGAUGAGUAGGGCGGGACACGUGGUAUCCUGUCUGAAUAUGGGGGGACCAUCCUCCAAGGCUAAAUACUCCUGACUGACCGAUAGUGAACCAGUACCGUGAGGGAAAGGCGAAAAGAACCCCGGCGAGGGGAGUGAAAAAGAACCUGAAACCGUGUACGUACAAGCAGUGGGAGCACGCUUAGGCGUGUGACUGCGUACCUUUUGUAUAAUGGGUCAGCGACUUAUAUUCUGUAGCAAGGUUAACCGAAUAGGGGAGCCGAAGGGAAACCGAGUCUUAACUGGGCGUUAAGUUGCAGGGUAUAGACCCGAAACCCGGUGAUCUAGCCAUGGGCAGGUUGAAGGUUGGGUAACACUAACUGGAGGACCGAACCGACUAAUGUUGAAAAAUUAGCGGAUGACUUGUGGCUGGGGGUGAAAGGCCAAUCAAACCGGGAGAUAGCUGGUUCUCCCCGAAAGCUAUUUAGGUAGCGCCUCGUGAAUUCAUCUCCGGGGGUAGAGCACUGUUUCGGCAAGGGGGUCAUCCCGACUUACCAACCCGAUGCAAACUGCGAAUACCGGAGAAUGUUAUCACGGGAGACACACGGCGGGUGCUAACGUCCGUCGUGAAGAGGGAAACAACCCAGACCGCCAGCUAAGGUCCCAAAGUCAUGGUUAAGUGGGAAACGAUGUGGGAAGGCCCAGACAGCCAGGAUGUUGGCUUAGAAGCAGCCAUCAUUUAAAGAAAGCGUAAUAGCUCACUGGUCGAGUCGGCCUGCGCGGAAGAUGUAACGGGGCUAAACCAUGCACCGAAGCUGCGGCAGCGACGCUUAUGCGUUGUUGGGUAGGGGAGCGUUCUGUAAGCCUGUGAAGGUGUACUGUGAGGUAUGCUGGAGGUAUCAGAAGUGCGAAUGCUGACAUAAGUAACGAUAAAGCGGGUGAAAAGCCCGCUCGCCGGAAGACCAAGGGUUCCUGUCCAACGUUAAUCGGGGCAGGGUGAGUCGACCCCUAAGGCGAGGCCGAAAGGCGUAGUCGAUGGGAAACAGGUUAAUAUUCCUGUACUUGGUGUUACUGCGAAGGGGGGACGGAGAAGGCUAUGUUGGCCGGGCGACGGUUGUCCCGGUUUAAGCGUGUAGGCUGGUUUUCCAGGCAAAUCCGGAAAAUCAAGGCUGAGGCGUGAUGACGAGGCACUACGGUGCUGAAGCAACAAAUGCCCUGCUUCCAGGAAAAGCCUCUAAGCAUCAGGUAACAUCAAAUCGUACCCCAAACCGACACAGGUGGUCAGGUAGAGAAUACCAAGGCGCUUGAGAGAACUCGGGUGAAGGAACUAGGCAAAAUGGUGCCGUAACUUCGGGAGAAGGCACGCUGAUAUGUAGGUGAAGCGACUUGCUCGUGGAGCUGAAAUCAGUCGAAGAUACCAGCUGGCUGCAACUGUUUAUUAAAAACACAGCACUGUGCAAACACGAAAGUGGACGUAUACGGUGUGACGCCUGCCCGGUGCCGGAAGGUUAAUUGAUGGGGUCAGCGCAAGCGAAGCUCUUGAUCGAAGCCCCGGUAAACGGCGGCCGUAACUAUAACGGUCCUAAGGUAGCGAAAUUCCUUGUCGGGUAAGUUCCGACCUGCACGAAUGGCGUAAUGAUGGCCAGGCUGUCUCCACCCGAGACUCAGUGAAAUUGAACUCGCUGUGAAGAUGCAGUGUACCCGCGGCAAGACGGAAAGACCCCGUGAACCUUUACUAUAGCUUGACACUGAACAUUGAGCCUUGAUGUGUAGGAUAGGUGGGAGGCUUUGAAGUGUGGACGCCAGUCUGCAUGGAGCCGACCUUGAAAUACCACCCUUUAAUGUUUGAUGUUCUAACGUUGACCCGUAAUCCGGGUUGCGGACAGUGUCUGGUGGGUAGUUUGACUGGGGCGGUCUCCUCCUAAAGAGUAACGGAGGAGCACGAAGGUUGGCUAAUCCUGGUCGGACAUCAGGAGGUUAGUGCAAUGGCAUAAGCCAGCUUGACUGCGAGCGUGACGGCGCGAGCAGGUGCGAAAGCAGGUCAUAGUGAUCCGGUGGUUCUGAAUGGAAGGGCCAUCGCUCAACGGAUAAAAGGUACUCCGGGGAUAACAGGCUGAUACCGCCCAAGAGUUCAUAUCGACGGCGGUGUUUGGCACCUCGAUGUCGGCUCAUCACAUCCUGGGGCUGAAGUAGGUCCCAAGGGUAUGGCUGUUCGCCAUUUAAAGUGGUACGCGAGCUGGGUUUAGAACGUCGUGAGACAGUUCGGUCCCUAUCUGCCGUGGGCGCUGGAGAACUGAGGGGGGCUGCUCCUAGUACGAGAGGACCGGAGUGGACGCAUCACUGGUGUUCGGGUUGUCAUGCCAAUGGCACUGCCCGGUAGCUAAAUGCGGAAGAGAUAAGUGCUGAAAGCAUCUAAGCACGAAACUUGCCCCGAGAUGAGUUCUCCCUGACUCCUUGAGAGUCCUGAAGGAACGUUGAAGACGACGACGUUGAUAGGCCGGGUGUGUAAGCGCAGCGAUGCGUUGAGCUAACCGGUACUAAUGAACCGUGAGGCUUAACCUU
rnacentral:rRNA from 1 species